GUUUCGUAGUUGCUUCAUAAAUGGAUGAUGAGUGGGGCUGGCUAUGCGUGGGGUCAAUACAACAUAAUGAUUUUUCUCCUGCCCUGCGUAAAAGAAAAAAAACAUAGACCGACGAGCGGUAAAAGGAAAAGGCGACGCAGCUUCCUCCUCCCCUCGGUCUUUUCUCGCCUUCUCCUCUCCGCCCUCUCGCUCGCCGUCGCCACCAUGGCCUCCCCUGCCGCUCAUCUCCACCUCCUCCUGCGGGUCCAAUCCCUGCCCACUCCAUCCCCUCAGCCCAUGGAUUCCGGGGCAUCCCCUCUCGGCCACCACCUCUCCUUCUCUCUUUGUUUCCCCCAAGUCCCGAUCUGGAGCGGGAGAGACAGAUACGGCCAAAAGCGCCGGUGCCGGCGUGGGAUGAUAGAGGCCGCCACCUCUCCUCACCUCCUCCCAUGUUCCGGUGGCGGCACCGGGGAAGAAAGGAGCAGCAGCCAUAGCAGGCGCGGUGCUGGCAAACGCGAGCGGCAGUUAGCCGCAGCAGGAGGCGGUGUUGAUGAGGUGGCGGUCUGUGCCGUCGCCGCCGCUGUCGUACUCUGGGAGAAGGUCAAGACAACAUGAAUCAACAACGCCACGGCGAGAGAAACGACCAUGGGUCCUGGAGCCGAGACCUUCGCAAUAAGCAUCACACGGACCUGGAGAGUUUAGCGUUGACGUCACGGACAUUGAGAACACUUUGCAUUACCCUCAAAAAAGAGAACACUUUGCAUUAUUUGUGCUAGCCAUUGGAGAGAGUAUAAGAAGCACAUGUUCCCGUGUUCUGAAAGAAGUUGUUGGUUUCGCUACCUGUUUGCUUCUCUUGGUAAAUGAGGGCUCACAUGAGAAGGCCUUCAUGGUUGGAGAAAGACUGUCCGGAGUUUGGAUCUCCAGUGUAUCAGGAAACAAUCCCAUUUAGCAAAAUACUCCAUGAAGUUCAUCUUCAAGUUGUUCCUUGGGGCAUUGGGACCGCACUUGGAGAGCUUCCUCCAUAUUUUGUUUCUAGAGCAGGUUAUGUUUAUAAUGUUUUGCUCUUGCCAACUCGAACAUAAUGUACCUUUGUAAUCAUCUCAUGCUAUACCUCAUUAUUCUUUAAGUUUUUAUUCCAGGGCUUCAUUGUGAAUUGCUUAAAUUAUGUAUAAAUGCUUCACCGUGUCCAAACUUACAUGAACACAUCACAUGUGUAAUUAAGUGUCAGAAAGAAGUGCAUAGUCCUAUUAGCAAGAAGCUUCUUGAUUGAUUACAAAUUAAUCAAACAUCUAUCUAUAGCACACUUUGAUCAGUGAUGACAGUUGGAUUUUUAUUUGAUUAUUGCUUAUUUGUGUGCCAUCUUCCAGUAUAGCCUUCAAUGAGAUAUAUAGUUAUCCUGUGUGCAGAGCAGAGUAUAUAUAAAGUUUAGUUUUAUGGUCCUGCUCAGAUGUUAGAUCUUGAAUGCAUUUAAGUAACAUCCAUGCUCCCUCUUAAGUCUUUUGUGAGUCUUCCUUUGCUACUUCUCUGAUGGUUCUGUUUAAAUGACAAUCUUUUUGUUCCCAUUUUUUUGUGAUUAUGUCUAAUAACUAUACGAUAAGCUGACUUAUCUGGCUUAUAAGUGUUAGAAUCUCGACCUCAUAAGUGAUCAUUAAAGAUUAGCCUAAAUUAAGGCUAAACAAUCCUUGAUCUUAGUGUUCUCUUUGGAAGAAUUACUGAUGUGGACAAUCCAUGUUUCUAGCAUUUUAUUGUACCUCUCUAAAAUUCCCACUCACAUGGUUAGAUGCUAUUCCAUUCGUCUCCAUUGUCAUUGACGCCGUACAGGCUUAAGCCUCUUUGUCCCUCUACUGUAAUCUAGCAAUAUAUCAAUGCUUAAUUUGAUUCAGUUCUUGCAGCAUAGAUAGCAUUAAAAUGCUUGAUGUUUUGCCUCUUUGGGUGGCCUUGCUUGAUGUUCUCCUGAUGUCUAUAGAUUGUUACAACGGAAUGACUUGUCAGACUCUUUGUAUGCUUAUAAGCUUAUCAGUUCAUUUUUCAAGAUUAGAAUGUUAUCAAUGAUGGCCACUUCCAGGUUGUUGAUAAUGCAUUUGCAGAUCAUUGGUGUGUGUGUGUGUGUGUGCUUACCCCUUUGAUAAUCAAUAUGGUGCAGAUGCGUCUAUCAUAGAUUUCAUUUGACAUUUGAUGUGAAUACUACAUGUUGCAACGAUAAAAGGUAUCCAUGAGGUUCUUCCCAUCAAAUGUAUUUAAAAUUCACUAUCCGGUUUUUGCCUAUUUAGUUUGUUUGCAGAUUAUUUUUGGGUGGUUGUGUUGAUCUCUUGGCAAUUUAUCGAUAGCCUUGGAAGCUUCAAUUAAGUUAAUCAGGAUUAGAAGAUUAUUCAUUAAUUAAAUUAUGAGUUUAGUAUUCCCAUAUGCUUCUUUGGUCAUAAAAGAAAGUAAUAAAUUGGCUGUUCUGUAUAGGUUUUAUCAGUUAAUUGUAUUCUGGACUAGAAGAUUUUUCAUUCACUUAUCUGAAUUUUGUAGCUCACUAGGUACCUCCUGUAAUUAGGUGUACACAAGUCUUCUGUAGAACCUGAUUGUUGAUAUCUCCUAAAAAUAGGAAGGUUAUCGUUCAUUACCAACUGUAUCAGGACACUUUUGUAGAAGAUAUGGCUUAUUGUGCAUUAAAACAGUAGCCACAAAGUUUGGUCUUUCUAUUAUUUCUCUAUACAUUUGAUUUGGAUUGUCCGAGAAGCCUCCGUCAAUACUAAAAUGUUUGUUGUUUGUUUUGUUGUUGGUCUACAAACAUUUAUAUUUUGAGAAUCAUUCUGAAACCGGGGUUCAAAGCACUGAGGAAAUAUGUUCUAUUUCUGAGUCUUGUGCUAAUGCUUCAAAGGGAGAUGAAGAAAAAGAAUCAGAACUAUUGACCCACUGUAUCUACUAGCAGACUAAAAGGAACACUGUAAUGCCCAGUAAGGUACUGACGUGUUAUGCAACUGCAGUCCUAUAAUGAAUUAAAGUUUCAGUUCAAGUUGUUCACCAGGUUCAGCAGUGGGCAAUGCUUGAGACAGAGUUGGGCGCACAACAUAUAUAUAAAUAUGUCGUCGCUUCUGAAUAAACAUAGAUGAGCUGCAGCAGGGAUGAGAUAUCUGUCCGACUGUCAUCCUUCGCUGAUUUGGAUUCUUUUGUAACUUAAGAGGUUAUACAUAGUUGCAUGCACUUACUUUAGCUAAGAGGAGCACAACAUUGGAGAGAAAGGAAAUGAUCAAAGUUAAUCUAUUUCAGAAGAGGAAAAAUCAUAAGUUCUGGUAUAUACCGGGCCGGCACGGGAUAUUGGACGAGGCGAGUGUUCCUCUGCAUCGGAAAGAUGAGUUUGAUUGCAAGAUCUGCUUCCUCACCCGCAAGAUCAGCUCCCUCCCCUUUAUGCAUCGUGCCGGCAGGUCAAUUCUUCAGGUGAAUCAUCACCAGAUCAAGCUGGCUCACCCACUUCCAGGCAUACCUUGACCAAUAGCACGGCAGGUCAUGGCUAACAUCAUCAAGCAUCAACAGCAAGCAACAAGCAGCCAGCAGCAAAGAAGGGACAGGUUGAUAAAAAAAGCAAAGAAGGGACAGGAGCAAAGCAGCUAGCAGCAAAGAAGGGACGGCAAGCAACAAGCAGCCAGCAGCAAAGAAGGGACAAGUUGA